rnacentral:hammerhead_ribozyme from 1 species
AUCCAGCUGAUGAGUCCCAAAUAGAACGAGACCCACCUCCUGGAU